GACAGAGGAUGCAAGCGUUAUCCGGAAUGAUUGGGCGUAAAGCGUCUGUAGGUGGCUUUUUAAGUCCGCCGUCAAAUCCCAGGGCUCAACCCUGGGCGUGCAGUGGAUACGGGCAGGCUGGAGGCAGGCAGGGGAGAACGGAAUUCCCGGUGUAGCGGUGAAAUGCGCAGAUAUCGGGAGGAACACCGGUGGCGAAGGCGGUUCUCUGGGCCUGUACUGACGCUGAGGAGCGAAAGCGUGGGGAGCGAACAGG
rnacentral:rRNA from 1 species